rnacentral:rRNA from 1 species
UACAGAGGGUGCGAGCGUUAAUCGGAAUUACUGGGCGUAAAGCGAGCGUAGUCGGUUAUUUAAGUCGGAUGUGAAAUCCCCGGGCUCAACCUGGGAAUUGCAUUCGAUACUGGAUAGCUAGAGUUCGGCAGAGGGAAGCGGAAUUUCUGGUGUAGCGGUGAAAUGCGUAGAUAUCAGAAGGAACAUCAGUGGCGAAAGCGGCUUCCUGGACCAGAACUGACGAUCAGGCUCGAAAGCGUGGGGAGCAAACAGG